rnacentral:misc_RNA from 1 species
CCGUGUGCUGUCUAAUCACCUCUCAACAAAACAGGCACACAAAAGACUCCAAAUUGAAAGAACAGAGGAAAAUUUAUUACCUUUGUUGCUUCUGGUGCAAUGGCUCGAGUAAUUCCAGUCUUUCGAUUACAAGAAAAUGUAAUAUUUUGCCGGAGAAGUUGUUUUCUUGCCAAAUGAAAUUUCUUAAUCAACAAUUUUUGGUGUGGAAAUCCCAUUACCUCAGGUAAAA